rnacentral:rRNA from 1 species
CCUACGGGCGGCAGCAGUGGGGAAUAUUGGACAAUGGGGGGAACCCUGAUCCAGCCAUGCCGCGUGUGUGAAGAAGGCCCUCGGGUUGUAAAGCACUUUCAGUGAGGAAGAACGCCUGGUGGUUAAUACCCAUCAGGAAAGACAUCACUCACAGAAGAAGCACCGGCUAACUCCGUGCCAGCAGCCGCGGUAAUACGGAGGGUGCGAGCGUUAAUCGGAAUUACUGGGCGUAAAGCGCGCGUAGGUGGCUUGAUAAGCCGGUUGUGAAAGCCCCGGGCUCAACCUGGGAACGGCAUCCGGAACUGUCAAGCUAGAGUGCAGGAGAGGAAGGUAGAAUUCCCGGUGUAGCGGUGAAAUGCGUAGAGAUCGGGAGGAAUACCAGUGGCGAAGGCGGCCUUCUGGACUGACACUGACACUUAGGUGCGAAAGCGUGGGUAGCAAACAGGAUUAGAUACCCCAGUAGUC